rnacentral:rRNA from 1 species
UACGUAGGGGGCAAGCGUUGUCCGGAUUUAUUGGGCGUAAAGCGCUCGCAGGUGGUUCGUCGCGUCGUGCGUGAAAGACCCCGGCUCAACUGGGGGAGGUCGUGCGAUACGGGCGGACUGGAGGCCAGUAGGGGGAUGCGGAAUUCCGGGUGUAGUGGUGGAAUGCGUAGAGAUCCGGAAGAACACCGGUGGCGAAGGCGCUCUGCUAGGCCGUAACUGACACUGAGGGACGAAAGCUAGGGGAGCGAAUGGG